CCGUAGGUGAACCUGCGGAAGGAUCAUUACG
rnacentral:rRNA from 1 species